rnacentral:rRNA from 1 species
UUUUAUUUAUAAAUUAAAAACUUAAGUUGGGUACUAAAAACAUUAGUUCUAAAUCCAAAAAAUUUGGCGGUACUUUAAUAAAUCAGGGGAACUUGCAAAUUAAUUCGAUAAUCCACGAAUCCCUUACCUUUAAUAGAAACUCAGUUAGUGUACUGCCGUAUUAAUGUAAAUUUAUAAUUGUACAUAAUUAAAAUAUAGUAUUUUAUACAACAGGUCAAAGUGCAGCUUAUAUAAAGUGGUUUUGUGUGUUACAAUAUUAAAAAAUAUAUGUUAUAAUAUAAGUAGGAUAUUUAUUAAACUGGACUUGAUAGUAAUUAUAAACAAUAAUGAAUUAAACCUUAAAGUGUGU